UAUUGGUCAAUGGGCGCGAGCCUGAACCAGCCAAGUAGCGUGAAGGAUGACGGCCCUAUGGGUUGUAAACUUCUUUUAUAUGGGAAUAAAGUUUGGUAUGUAUACCAUUUUGUAUGUACCAUAUGAAUAAGGAUCGGCUAACUCCGUGCCAGCAGCCGCGGUAAUACGGAGGAUCCGAGCGUUAUCCGGAUUUAUUGGGUUUAGAGGGUGCGUAGGCGGUUACUUAAGUCAGCGGUCAAAUGGCGGGGCUCAACCCCGUCCAGCCGUUGAAACUGGGUAGCUUGAGUCGGCGAGAAGUACGCGGAAUGCGCGGUGUAGCGGUGAAAUGCAUAGAUAUCGCGCAGAACUCCGAUGGCGAAGGCAGCGUACCGGCGCCGCACUGACGCUGAGGCACGAAAGCGUGGGUAUCGAAC
rnacentral:rRNA from 1 species